UAAUUCAAAGUGGGACCAAUUUCAUUAGAAAAUUCAGUAAACUGCUAGAAGAAACCAAUGCAUCUGAUGCCAUCCAAAGAAAAUAUAUGCCAAAGGUGCUGCAUACUAUUUUUUUUUUUUGGAUGGAUACAUAAACCUCACGUGAAACCUGAAGAAUUUCUUUCUGUGGAUCAUCAAGAUAGCUUUCAAAAACGCUUCCCAAAGCCAUUUGCUCAAUACAAGACUCACCUUCCUACACAGACUCCUUACUCCAUUCUUCUGGACUAUGUGACAGAAGAAAUCGGUGUUGCGGACCCAGUUAAACUGAUGCGUCGCUUGACAACUAUUAAUGCAGAUAUGCUCAAACUCUCAGCCGAUAACAGUCAGCUCACACCCAGCACUUUUUUCUUUAUUGCCACUGUUGUUGCUCGCAGCUGCUAUCGAGGUCCCCAAGACACAGCAAACCAUGCUGUCUUCUUUGGAGCAUCCCUCUCAUGCAAGGGGAAAACAGCAAAAUUAAUAAUGAUCUAUUUGUCCUGUAUAAAAACAUGGCAUGAGGCUGUGGCAUCGGCAGUUCUGUCUCCAGAAACAGGCUCUGCCACUGUGUUCUCUGAUAAAGUGUCAUGCCAAGCUUACCAGUAUAAAGGAAAUUACAUUCCAAAGCCUCCCUGUGAAAAAUGUCAUGAAAUAUUUGAGAAUGUGACAUUUGACCCUCCAUUCAAAGGCGCUCAAAAUGCAGUAUGGUAUUAUGGAAACUGUGCAGAGACC